rnacentral:lncRNA from 1 species
CAGGUAAACUGUGUAAUUAGUUUUUAUUUUCGUCUAUAUUUAAUGUUUCAUGCAUGUGCCGCAAGAUUCGAUGUGACGGGGAAUCUUCAAAAUUUUUGAGAACUAAACAAGGCCUAAGCGUGCUGACAGGAGAGAGAGGAAAAGUGCGGAGGGACACAUAGGUUGAGAGAGGGAUAGGGGCUGCUGGAUUUGGAGACUUGAAAUUAUAAUUUAAGAGGACAUAGA